AUUGAACACUGGCGGCAGGCCUAACACAUGCAAGUCGAACGAGUGGCGGACGGGUGAGUAAUGUCUGGGAAACUGCCUGAUGGAGGGGGAUAACUACUGGAAACGGUAGCUAAUACCGCAUACCAUCAGAUGUGCCCAGAUGGGAUUAGCUAGUUGGUGGGGUAACGGCUCACCAAGGCGACGAUCCCUAGCUGGUCUGAGAGGAUGACCCGCCAAACUGGAACCGAGACACGGUCCAGACUCCUACGGGAGGCAGCAGUGGGGAAUAGUGCACAAUGGGCGCAAGCCUGAUGCAGCCAUGCCGGGUGUAUGAAGAAGGCCUUCGGGUUGUAAAGUACUUUCAGCGGGGAGGCGUUACCCGCAGAAGAAGCACCGGCUAACUCCGUGCCAGCAGCCGCGGUAAUUC
rnacentral:rRNA from 1 species